UACGAAGGGGGCUAGCGUUGUCCGGAAUUAUUGGGCGUAAAGGGCGCGUAGGCGGCCUUGUAAGUCAGAUGUGAAACCCCCGGGCUUAACUUGGGGCAUGCAUUUGAAACUGCAAGGCUUGAGUGCAGGAGAGGUAAGUGGAAUUCCUAGUGUAGCGGUGAAAUGCGUAGAUAUUAGGAGGAACACCAGUGGCGAAGGCGACUUACUGGACUGUAACUGACGCUGAGGCGCGAAAGCGUGGGGAGCAAAUAGG
rnacentral:rRNA from 1 species